CAGUCGAGGGGCAGCGGAGAGGUAGCAAUACCUUUGCCGGCGACCGGCGCACGGGUGAGUAACACGUAUGCAAUCCACCUGUAACAGGGGGAUAAGCCGGAGAAAUCCGGACUAAUACCCCAUAAUAUGGGUUCUCCGCAUGGAGGGUCCAUUAAAGAGAGCAAUUUUGGUUACAGACGAGCAUGCGCUCCAUUAGCCAGUUGACGGGGUAACGGCCCACCAAAGCGACGAUGGAUAGGGGUUCUGAGAGGAAGGUCCCCCACAUUGGAACUGAGACACGGUCCAAACUCCUACGGGAGGCAGCAGUGAGGAAUAUUGGUCAAUGGUCGGCAGACUGAACCAGCCAAGUCGCGUGAGGGAAGACGGCCCUACGGGUUGUAAACCUCUUUUGUCGGAGAGUAAAGUACGCUACGUGUAGCGUAUUGCAAGUAUCCGAAGAAAAAGCAUCGGCUAACUCCGUGCCAGCAGCCGCGGUAAUACGGAGGAUGCAAGCGUUAUCCGGAUUUAUUGGGUUUAAAGGGUGCGUAGGCGGCACGCCAAGUCAGCGGUGAAAUUUCCGGGCUCAACCCGGACUGUGCCGUUGAAACUGGCGAGCUAGAGUGCACAAGAGGCAGGCGGAAUGCGUGGUGUAGCGGUGAAAUGCAUAGAUAUCACGCAGAACCCCGAUUGCGAAGGCAGCCUGCUAGGGUGCGACAGACGCUGAGGCACGAAAGCGUGGGUAUCGAACAGGAUUAGAUACCCUGGUAGUCCACGCAGUAAACGAUGAAUACUAACUGUUU
rnacentral:rRNA from 1 species